ensembl:snRNA U6 U6 spliceosomal RNA
GUGCUUGCUUCAGCAACACAUAUACUAAAAUUGGAAAAAUGCAGAGAAGAUUAGUUUGGCCCCUGUGCAAGGAAGACACACACAUUAGUGAAGCGUUCCAUAUUUUU